rnacentral:rRNA from 1 species
UACGGAGGGAGCAAGCGUUACUCGGAAUUACUGGGCGUAAAGGGCGCGUAGGCGAUUCGAUAAGUCUUGUGUGAAAGCCCCGUGCUUAACGCGGGAAGUGCAUAAGAUACUGUAGAAAUGAGUUCCGGAGAGGAAGAUGGAAUUCCCGGUGUAGCGGUGAAAUGCGUAGAUAUCUGGAGGAACACCGGUGGCGAAGGCGGCAUCCUGGACCAAUUCUGACGUGAGGAGCGGAAAGCCAGGGGAGCAAACGGG